AGUGAACGCUGGCGGUAGGCCUAACACAUGCAAGUCGAACGGCAGCACAGGAGAGCUUGCUCUCUGGGUGGCGAGUGGCGGACGGGUGAGGAAUACAUCGGAAUCUACUCUGUCGUGGGGGAUAACGUAGGGAAACUUACGCUAAUACCGCAUACGACCUACGGGUGAAAGCAGGGGAUCUUCGGAUCUUGCGCGAUUGAAUGAGCCGAUGUCGGAUUAGCUAGUUGGCGGGGUAAAGGCCCACCAAGGCGACGAUCCGUAGCUGGUCUGGGAGGAUGAUCAGCCACACUGGAACUGAGACACCGUCCAGACUCCUACGGGAGGCAGCAGUGGGGAAUAUUGGACAAUGGGCGCAAGCCUGAUCCAGCCAUACCGCGUGGGUGAAGAAGGCCUUCGGGUUGUAAAGCCCUUUUGUUGGGAAAGAAAUCCAUCUGGUUAAUACCCGGGUGGGAUGACGGUACCCAAAGAAUAAGCACCGGCUAACUUCGUGCCAGCCGCCGCCGUAA
rnacentral:rRNA from 1 species